AACGAACGCUGGCGGCAUGCCUAACACAUGCAAGUCGAACGAGACCUUCGGGUCUAGUGGCGCACGGGUGCGUAACGCGUGGGAACCUGCCCUUAGGUUCGGAAUAACUCCCCGAAAUGGGUGCUAAUACCGGAUAAUGUCUUCGGACCAAAGAUUUAUCGCCUUUGGAUGGGCCCGCGUUGGAUUAGCUAGUUGGUAGGGUAAAAGCCUACCAAGGCGACGAUCCAUAGCUGGUCUGAGAGGAUGAUCAGCCACACUGGGACUGAGACACGGCCCAGACUCCUACGGGAAGCAGCAGUGGGGAAUAUUGGACAAUGGGCGAAAGCCUGAUCCAGCAAUGCCGCGUGAGUGAUGAAGGCCUUAGGGUUGUAAAGCUCGUUUACCCGGGAUGAUAAUGACAGUACCGGGAGAAUAAGCUCCGGCUAACUCCGUG
rnacentral:rRNA from 1 species